rnacentral:rRNA from 1 species
UACGUAGGGUGCGAGCGUUAAUCGGAAUUACUGGGCGUAAAGCGUGCGCAGGCGGUGAUGUAAGACCGAUGUGAAAUCCCCGGGCUUAACCUGGGAACUGCAUUGGUGACUGCAUUGCUGGAGUAUGGCAGAGGGGGGUGGAAUUCCACGUGUAGCAGUGAAAUGCAGAGAUGUGGAGGAACACCGAUGGCGAAGGCAGCCCCCUGGGCUAACACUGACGCUCAGGCACGAAAGCGUGGGGAGCAAACAGG